GCAGUCAUGGCCGAGUGGUUAAGGCGAUGGUCUUGAAAACCACAGGGCUCUUACCGUGCAGGUUCAAACCCUGCCGACUGCG